UUAAAUUGAAGAGUUUGAUCAUGGCUCAGAUUGAACGCUGGCGGCAGGCCUAACACAUGCAAGUCGAACGGUAACAGGAAGCAGCUUGCUGCUUUGCUGACGAGUGGCGGACGGGUGAGUAAUGUCUGGGAAACUGCCUGAUGGAGGGGGAUAACUACUGGAAACGGUGGCUAAUACCGCAUAACGUCGCAAGACCA
rnacentral:rRNA from 1 species